UUAGCAAGCUAGGCGGCCUGUGAUAGUAAUAUCACAGUGAAUAAAUCGACUAAUAUCGGUGAAAUCCUUGUAUGACAACCUGUCGUAUACUGGGACAAUACCGAGGCAAACCUGAUUAAAACAGGUGAGCCGUAGAGACUUUCUGCCAUAGAGGCGGAGGAUGGAGGCUUAACCUUCCAUAAUAUGUCGAUCUCCCGCAAAAGCGGGAUGGUGAUAUAGUCCAUACACUUAGUAAUAGGUGA
rnacentral:ncRNA from 1 species